ACUGUGUACUCGUGCAUCUGCUCGUACACACGCACACGCACGUGCGCGCAUGCACGAAAAUGGAUGUCCCCCUUAAAAAAAAAGGAAGUCGAUUAUUCAUGAGCAGCAGUAGCGGGGACGAGUACGACCCGGCAGAGGUGGUUGUGCACACAACCGUUGCAUCACCCUCUCUCAGCGACACCGUGGUGCCCUCAACGGCGCCGUUCUUGAGGUCGGCAGCGGAGAACGCAUCCGCAGCGACCGUCGCUGCGGUGGCUGCCUUGACCUCUCUUCCGAAGACGACAGCUUCAGCGCUCCCCUCUUCCUCCUCGCCGACCCCGCGCAGUGCUGGAAACGACGUCGACGGUGGCUACCGCUUGCACAGCGACAUCAAGGGCCGCAUCCGCUGCCUCACACUCAAUACGGCUGGUACGACGCUGUGCGCCGGCAGCGAGGAUGGGCAGCUGUGCAUGUGGGACUUCACCGUUCCUCUCAAGUCGUAUCGCUUGCAGCCAACGCGGGUGCUGACGCCGUUUGUGAACCGCAUCUCGGGAUUGCAGCCCAUCAUCGCCUUGGCAUGCGCGAGCGACGACAGUUACUUUGUCGCCUGCCAGGAUGGGGACAGCCCGGCGCUGGUGCGAGCGUCUGGGGAACAGCUGGGGUACUGCGCAAUCGGGGAGCGUGGCUUGAUGGAUGUGAUUCAGUGCAAGGGCCAUCGCGCUCCCGUCACGUGCGUCGCCGCGCACACCCACGACGCAGCCGCCUUCUUCACGGGCAGCCAAGACGGCACGGUGCGGCUGUGGAACAGCGCCACGUUCAAGCAGAGGAGUGUGUACGCGGUGAAGCACGGAUCGGGGCAGCUGACCGAUACCCAUGUGGUGGAGAGCGUGGCCAGCCUCAACCGCUUCCACAAUGGACUGGGGCGCGUUUUUGCCAGCGGAGGGCAGGAUGGCCGAGUGCAGAUAUGGGACAGCAGGGUGAAAUACCGUCCCGGCGGGGCCAUCGCCACGGUGAAUAUGUACGCUGCAGCAGCACCGGCAGGGCCGGGCAAGGCGACGGAGGACCCCUUCAUGGAGAAGCACGUGGGCGGCAUGAUGGAGCUACACCAGAAGGAUGCAGGCGCCUCGCACGCUUCCGGCAGUUACGGGCUUGCCGUACGUCUGGGCAGCGCUGUCAAGAUAAUCGACCUCCGCCGGCUCUCUCACAGCGAUGGUGCCACUGCGCCGAAAGCAGUCGUUCAAGAGGCGGCUACCGGGCUGCCCCAUGUGCUCGACACGACCGCUCUGUCGAUCGGGCGCGGUGGUGGGUCUUCAAUGAUGACGUGCACAAGUCGUGCCGGCUACAGGCACACCAAGGGCGGCCACGUAGUGCAGUAUUGCUACGCGGAUGGCGACCGACUUGACCUGACGCUGGUCUGGCGGGCCGGCAAGCAAGACGAGGAUGUCCUCUGCGCAUGUGCGGAUAUCAGCCGUGCUGACGGCUGUCUCUUCGCCGGCCUCAGCUCUGGCGAUGUGGUAGUGCAUGGCGCCUUCUCGAAUGGUGCGGCAGCACCGCAGCCCAUGGAAGCGUGGCUGCAGACGCGCCCACAGAGAGAGGGGCACGAGCGUGCCGUCGGCGUAAAGGCGCCGCGUGCAGUUGAGGACGACGCCGAUCUGCUGCAUGACCUGUUCUAGACAAGGCGGCUUUUUUUUGUGGGACCGCUGCUCUCUCGCCCACCCACACGUGAAGACGGAGAGGCAAAUAAGGGAGGCGGGGAGAGGAAGGGAACCCAAGCAAGCUCGUGACGUGCAUGUGCGAAUGAGGAAGACCUCACAG
rnacentral:misc_RNA from 1 species